UUAAUAGAAGCCAAAUAGAGGCUUUUCACUGUUAAUGAAUAUAUUGUAUUACCUAUUAAG
rnacentral:tRNA from 1 species